GGUUUGGAAUCUACUCACUUUCCGUCAUUGUUAUGAAGUGGAAUACUCAUUAAAGAUAUGUCCUCCCCACUACCACCUUGUGAGGGUACAAGCUCCACCACCAUUUUCCACCCCACUCUUUCGGUUCGAUAGCGAACUCGCUGCUACUCUGGGAUUAUCAGAGCGCCAAGUUAAAAUCUGGUUUCAAAACAGACGACCGAAAUGGCGGAAACAAGCAAAAAGAAGUGCAUUGGAAAGAAAAUUCAAAUGGACAGCUUUCACCAGCAGAGCCUCUUACAGCAGCAGCAACGACAUUCACAACCGGGUCAGGGAGCAACAUAAAUAAUAAAUAAAAUAAAAAUAAUGAACACUCCAAAAAUAAUGAACAAUCCAAAAAUAAUGAACAAUCCAAAAAUAAUAAACAUAAAUAAAUAAUAAAUGAACAAAUAAAA